rnacentral:sRNA from 1 species
GCUGGGCAUGGUGAUGUGUGCCUGUAAUCCCAGUAGCUCGGGAGGCUGAGGCAGGAGGAUUAUGAGUUCAAAGCCAGCCUCAGCAAAAGCAAGGCAUUAAGAAACUCAGACCCUGUCUCUA